rnacentral:rRNA from 2 species
UACGUAGGGGGCGAGCGUUGUCCGGAGUUACUGGGCGUAAAGGGCAUGCAGGCGGUCGGACGCGUUUCGGGUGACAGUGGGUGGCUUAACUACCCGAGCGGUCGAAAGACGGUUCGACUUGAGGACGCGAGAGGGACACGGAAUUCCGGGUGGAGUGGUGAAAUGCGUAGAGAUCCGGAGGAACACCGAAGGCGAAGGCAGUGUCCUGGCGCGUAACUGACGCUGAGGUGCGAAAGCCAGGGGAGCGAACGGG